UCCCACGUAAAGAUGUUGUUUCACGUUCUAUUUAUUUGCACUCUGAUAUUCCAUACCCCAGACAUUUAUGGGGCGGUUUAUACAGUUGCUAAUGCAACCGAUAAAUUUACCGAUUUUAAGCUAAAAUAUAAUAAACAAUAUAAAGACUCGUUUGAUGAAAGUAAUCAUUAUUUGGCAUUUAUAAACAACUUGAAUGCCGCUGCGGCAUUGAAUGCUACAUCGCAAGGGAGCAAGACCGUCUAUGUGAUGAAUAAAUAUGCAGAUUUGGACCCGGCGGAAGUUGAGGAAAGCUACGCUAUUCACUUAAAGACUUAUGAUGCGGUCAAAGAAGGUGAUCACCAGCAGGCAUUAAGAAGUGAUCAUGGAAUUGAAAUUAAUGACGAUAAUCUGUUUAAUUUAAAAGAUUCAGACGAACUUUUUCAAAAGUAUAUUGAAGAGGAACACAGAACCUUCAAGGACAAGCGCGAUGGCUUUUUACAUUUCUACAGGUUUGUUAAAACACUGGCACAGAAAAAUAGAGGCAUCUACGAAGGCAGCGACACUCCGGACCUUGGGCAUUCUGCGGAUAUAUUGACCGAAAGCAAAGAGUUCUUCUAUUGAGG